rnacentral:rRNA from 1 species
UGGGGAAUUUUGCGCAAUGGGCGAAAGCCUGACGCAGCAACGCCGCGUGGAGGAUGAAGGUCCUUGGAUUGUAAACUCCUGUCAGCGGGGAAAAAGCGAGGUGACCUCAUACGUCAUCGAGUUGAUUGUACCCGCAGAGGAAGCCCCGGCUAACUCUGUGCCAGCAGCCGCGGUAAUACAGAGGGGGCAAGCGUUAUUCGGAAUUAUUGGGCGUAAAGGGCGCGUAGGCGGCUUUUCAAGUGACGGGUGAAAUCCCCCGGCUUAACCGGGGAACCGCCUGUCAGACUGAAUGGCUUGAGACCAGGAGAGGUGAGUGGAAUUCCCAGUGUAGCGGUGAAAUGCGUAGAUAUUGGGAGGAACACCAGUGGCGAAGGCGGCUCACUGGACUGGUACUGACGCUGAGGCGCGAAAGCGUGGGGAGCAAACAGG